UUAUAGUUAUCGUUUUAUUCAUUAACUUAUUUGCAGAAUAGAAGGUGUAGUUGAAAAAAGUAGCAUUAAAAAUUCACAGCACACGAAAUAAGGGAGGAAGGAGAGAGAGUUGUUUUUUUUUGUUGACACUAAACACGUGUCUUAUUGUGACCUCAAUUGCGAUUCUUCGCGUGCUGUCUAGGUACAUUGAGAUAACAACAUUUACUUCCAGAACGAGAAAGUUCGAUGGAACGACGUUAAAUCGAAUUUCUGGAUGGAAGAUGGAAGGGCGGAAGCGCCUGAAGGGAUGAAAUAAGCUGAGAAAGAAUACGGAAUAAUAAAAAAUAAAAGUUAUAAAAUGAGGAAUAAAGAAUAAAGAACACUGGACGGAUGGUAAAAUAUUUCUUGGAGUGUGUAUAGCGGAUACCGAGUGCAGUAAGUGUAGCAAACAGUCGCGAGCCGGAGAGUACACACCACCGGAUACAGCGGCAUAAGAGCAGAGCUCAGUACAGAGUACAGAGUACAGAAAGUCGAGUGUAUUUUCCGGUGACGUUCUCCCCGAUGAAAUUGCAUCGCUCGCAACGCGGACCUUCUCUAUAUACCAGACUGAGGGUAUAAUACCACUGCAGCGUAACAGAAUUCCCGGUGCUGCACGGAGCCUCACGUUUCAAGAAAGCGGGAUAGGAGCUUUAAAUAAAAAUAGCUGAGGAAGGAGC